rnacentral:lncRNA from 1 species
ACCCCCGGAUGCCUCAGUGUCCCCCCCAUUGGCACCAAGGCUUGUGUGUGCCUCAGUUUCCCCACGGGGGAUGAGGUGGAGGGGGUCCUCUGGAGACACCUGAGUCCCUUUUUCAGGGGUGGGGGGUCCCUCCUGGAUACCUGAAGGGAAAUGGGGGGGGGUCUCACCUGGCUGCCCCUCCCCCACAGGAGAAGGAGGAGCUGCUGGGGGGGGCUGAGAACGGGCCCAGGCCCCCCCCGGGGCCCCCCCUGCGCCUCUGCCCCAUCAAGGAGGAAGCAGGACCCCUCCCCCGCCUCGAGGUGAGACCCCCCGGCUGCCUGGGACCCCCCCUGCACACCUGGGACCCCCCCGUGACCCCCCCUGCCCCCCAGGACCCUCGCCUGGGGCUCCUCAUCGCCUCGGCCCCGCGCCUCAAGGGGGCCCCCCCGGAGCCCAGCGUGGCCCCCCAAAGGCCCCCCCCGGGGGAUCUGGGGGUCCUGAUCGCCGCCACCCCCCGCGUGAAGCAGGAGCAGCCGCAGCCCAGCGCGUCCCUGGUGCCGGUAAGGGGGGAAACUCUGCGGUUUGGGGGGGUCCCUGCGGUUUGGGGGGUCCUGAGCCUCUGCCUUCACCCCCAGGUGCCCCCCCAGCCUCCCCCUCCCCAGCUGGUGGUGCUGGAUGAGAGUGAGGAGGAGGAAGAAGAGGAAGAGGAGGGCGGCAGCCAAGUGGUGAGGAAGAGGGGGGGUCAGAGGAUUUGGGGGGAUCCUGGGGGGGCUUUUUGACGGGUGAGGGGUCUUGGGAAGGGGUUGGGGGUGUCCUGGGAGUGGCUUUAAAGGGAAUUUGGGGAGAGGGGUCUGACAAAUGGGAACUUUAGGUGGGAUUUUGGUGAGCUAGGGAAGGGAUUUUUGGGGCUGGG